AGGGCUAUAGCUCAGUUGGUAGAGCGCCUCGUUUACACACCGAGAUGGUCUACGGUUCGAGUCCGUAUAGCCCUA
rnacentral:tRNA from 1 species